UGUCUGAAGCUAUAUUGUAUUCUCCUUCCUGACUGGUCCAGAUUUUGCCCAAUAUCAGCCCAACUUUGAAAGCACCUCAGGUCUUCUCCCAGUGAGGAUGGGAGGUUUUCACAGCUGCAACUUUCACCUGCUCCACAUUCUGACUUCUUUGUUGGCCACCACUGCUUUUCAAGGUUGCUGAUGGCACUCAGAUGACCUUCAUGGCCUCAGCAUGAUGCGGAAACUCUUAAACACAAAGUCUUCCUGUAAUUUAAACACCCAGCCGUAUGCGUAAUUCAAAUAAGAUGUGGAGGCGGGUGCUGAGACGCCAGGACAGUGAGCUAAAGCAGGCUCAGGGAGGAUGCGGAUUCCAGGAGCCUCACGUCAGCAGAUGUGCCAGAGGAAUUCCUGCCUCCGCCAACCCUGCGCAUCCACAGCCUGAGGGAGGAGAAUGCCGGGCAUGUGUUGCACAAAGGUUCCCCACCUGCCGAUCUUGGCAAGAGUCGGAGCAAAGGCAAAAAAAAUAGUUACAUGUUUUAAAAGCAAAUUUGAGUUCCCUUGUUUUGGUAUGGGCCAUCCUUUUAAAUCCCAAACAAUCUUCUUAUUCAGAGGUGAAAUCUGAUCUGGCAGACAUUUCAGUGCCGGACCCUGUUUUCUGCUGACUUCAGGAGACUUAAAGAGACUUUUUGACCAACAUUGUUGUUAAUUUCAAGUAUGCACUUGGCCUAGUAUUUUUCCUCUGAGAUUUACAUUACACUGUUUUACUCACUCUGGUACUUUCUAUCCAUGUUCUCACUGAAGCUGUGUCCAUGAAAUACCUAUUGCACUUUGUUACCUGUUGGUGAACACUGGUGUUUUCCUCUGUAAAGAAAUGCAAGUACCUAAAUAACUCUUAGUGCAUCUCUCCUUGACUUUGUUGGGACAUACAGCCUCUGCUGAGCAGAGGUUUAAUUGUACGCCUUCAUCCUUUGCCCUGGGAUGGACUUGAACUGAUGUGUCAAAGGAGCUAUGAGGCGUUCAUCACUGAGUGCAGUGCAAGCUCUUAAACUGGGCUCUGUGGGGCAGCUCCAGCUCAGGCACUGUAGUGCAGGAAGAAAGGGUAGGCAGAAACCUGGCAAAACUGGAUGUUUUCUACUCAGGAGGAGGUGCACUUGCUUCAGUCAAUGCCUGUCCUCAUGAGAAAGAGUACACGACAGUUUUGGGGCUUGUGGCACCUGGUAAAACAUACUGAGCAGAUGGAGAAUCCAGCACAGAGGUGGAGGGAGACCCUGGGUACUACCUGGAUCCACUGAUCCUUAAGCAAAACAUUUCCAUAGGGUUCCACAGCAGCAAACCUUCUCCUCAGUAAAGAACAGAUGAAGAUAUAGCUCUUCUGAAGUCUUAAGUUAUGCAUACUCCCUCCACAUCUGCCAGUAUUUCCACUGUUGUAUUCAUCUAGAAAUAACAAAAGGUGUCAGAGGUUGCCUGGAGUUAGGUGGCAAGCACCAUCUGACCACAUUUCUUAACUGUAAAAUGAGACAGGCCACAUGUCAAAACAGAUUAAAAUAAAUCAUCAUUUGUGAUAGUG